rnacentral:tRNA from 1 species
GGCGGCUCAGGCCGGCCGGGCCGGGACGUGGCCGCCGCCCGCGAUGACGAAGCCGUAUUCGUAGGCCAGGAUCACGGCCUGGGUGCGGUUGC